rnacentral:rRNA from 1 species
GCGGUAAUACAGAGGAUGCAAGUGUUAUCCGGAAUUAUUGGGCGUAAAGCGUCUGUAGGUUGAUAUUUAAGUCUUUUGUUAAACCUUUGGGCUCAACCCAAAACCUGCAAAAGAAACUAUUUAUCUUGAGUAUAGUAGAGGUAAAGGGAAUUUCCAGUGGAGCGGUGAAAUGCGUAGAGAUUGGAAAGAACACCAACAGCGAAGGCACUUUACUGGGCUAUUACUGACACUGAGAGACGAAAGCUAGGGGAGCAAACGGGGUUAGAUACCCCGGUAGUCCUAGCUGUAAACGAUGGAUACUAGAUAUUGUGUAUUUUAAAUAGACAGUGUCGUAGCUAACGCGUUAAGUAUCCCGCCUGGGGAGUAUGCUCGCAAGGGUGAAACUCAAAGGAAUUGACGGGGGCCCGCACAAGCGGUGGAGCAUGUGGUUUAAUUCGAUGCAACGCGAAGAACCUUACCAGGACUUGACAUGAAGAGAAGUUUUCUUAAUGGAAAAUGUGCUACGGCCUCUUACACAGGUGGUGCAUGGCU